CAAAGGAGUGUAUGGGUGUGUGAUUCAUUAUGGCUAUGCAGAUUCUCUAAAUCUUGAAGGAGAUGACUUUGUAAAUCAAGUUACAAGUAGCUUGCGGGAGCAUAUACAACACUCUCGAAACUCUUUACCAUCUCAUCGUCAAGAGGUUCAGGAAGAGAUUUCUGCCUUUGAAGAGGCAAAACUGGCUGGUGUGGUUCACAUUCGUGGGAAGACAAGAUUUUAU
rnacentral:misc_RNA from 1 species